rnacentral:rRNA from 1 species
CCUACGGGUGGCAGCAGUGAGGAAUAUUGGUCAAUGGACGAGAGUCUGAACCAGCCAAGUAGCGUGAAGGAUGACUGCCCUAUGGGUUGUAAACUUCUUUUAUAUGGGAAUAAAACGUUCCACGUGUGGGAUUUUGUAUGUAUCAUAUGAAUAAGGAUCGGCUAACUCCGUGCCAGCAGCCGCGGUAAUACGGAGGAUCCGAGCGUUAUCCUGAUUUAUUGGGUUUAAAGGGAGCGUAGGUGGAUUGUUAAGUCCGUUGUGAAAGUUUGCGGCUCAACCGUAAAAUUGCAGUUGAAACUGGCAGUCUUGAGUACAGUAGAGGUAGGCGGAAUUCGUGGUGUAGCGGUGAAAUGCGUAGAUAUCACGAAGAACUCCGAUUGCGAAGGCAGUUCACUGGACUGCAACUGACACUGAGGCUCGAAAGUGUGGGUAUCAAACAGGAUUAGAUACCCUAGUAGUC